UAAUACAUCGGAACGUGUCCCGUGGUGGGGGAUAGCCCGGCGAAAGCCGGAUUAAUACCGCAUAUGCUCUACGGAGGAAAGUGGGGGACUCGCAAGGGCCUCACGCUAUGGGAGCGGCCGAUGUCCGAUUAGCUUGUUGGCGGGGUAAUGGCCCACCAAGGCGACGAUCGGUAGCUGGUCUGAGAGGAUGAUCAGCCACACUGGGACUGAGACACGGCCCAG
rnacentral:rRNA from 1 species